rnacentral:rRNA from 1 species
GAUGAACGCUGGCGGCGUGCUUAACGCAUGCAAGUCGAACGGUGAACGAGGGAGCUUGCUCCCUCCGGAUCAGUGGCGAACGGGUGAGUAACACGUGAGCAAUCUGCCCUGGACUCUGGGAUAAGCGUUGGAAACGACGUCUAAUACCGGAUACGAGGCGUGGGGGCAUCCCCAACGCCUGGAAAGAACUUCGGUCCAGGAUGAGCUCGCGGCCUAUCAGCUUGUUGGUGAGGUAACGGCUCACCAAGGCGACGACGGGUAGCCGGCCUGGGAGGGUAACCGGCCACACUGGGACUGGGACACGGCCCAGACACCUACGGGAGGCAGCAGUGGGGAAUAUUGCACAAUGGGCGCAAGCCUGAUGCAGCAACGCCGCGUGAGGGACGACGGCCUUCGGGUUGUAAACCUCUUUUAGCAGGGAAGAAGCGAAAGUGACGGUACCUGCAGAAAAAGCACCGGCUAACUACGUGCCAGCAGCCGCAGUAACAC